ACAUGCAAGUCGCGCGCGAUGGGGGGCAACCCCUUGAGAGCGGCGAACGGGUGAGUAACACGUGGGUAAUCUGCCUAGGAGCGGGGGAUAGCCUGGGGAAACUCGGGCUAAUACCGCAUAAGAUCACGGGAUCACGGUUCCGUGCUGAAAGGUGGCCUCUGCUUGCAAGCUACCACUCCUAGAGGAGCCCGCGGCUGAUUAGCUAGUUGGUGAGGUAAUGGCUCACCAAGGCGACGAUCAGUAGCCGGCCUGAGAGGGCGAUCGGCCACACUGGAACUGAGACACGGUCCAGACUCCUACGGGAGGCAGCAGUGAGGAAUCUUGCGCAAUGGGCGAAAGCCUGACGCAGCAACGCCGCGUGGAGGAUGAAGGUCUUCGGAUUGUAAACUCCUGUCAGAUGGGGCGAAGGUCCACUGCCUAACACGCGGUGGGCUUGACGGUACCAUCAGAGGAAGCCACGGCUAACUCUGUGCCAGCAGCCGCGGUAAUACAGAGGUGGCGAGCGUUAUUCGGAAUUAUUGGGCGUAAAGGGCGCGUAGGCGGCCAGAUAAGUCCCGGGUGAAAUCCCUCGGCUCAACCGAGGAACUGCCUUGGAAACUGUCUGGCUCGAGGCCGGGAGAGGGUAGUGGAAUUCCCAGUGUAGCGGUGAAAUGCGUAGAUACUGGGAGGAACACCGGUGGCGAAGGCGGCUACCUGGACCGGUUCUGACGCUGAUGCGCGAAAGCGUGGGGAGCAAACAGGAUUAGAUACCCUGGUAGUCCAUGCUGUAAACGAUGUCGACUAGCUGUUGGGGCCAUUGAAGGUCUUAGUAGCGAAGCUAACGCGAUAAGUCGACCGCCUGGGGAGUACGGUCGCAAGAUUAAAACUCAAAGGAAUUGACGGGGGCCCGCACAAGCGGUGGAGCAUGUGGUUUAAUUCGAUGCAACGCGAAGAACCUUACCUGCCCUUGA
rnacentral:rRNA from 1 species